rnacentral:lncRNA from 12 species
AUGCCGCCCUCCGGGAGGGACAGCAAGACAAGGCAGGGCACGGUGACGGCGGGUCAGAGCCUCCGGGCCCCCGCCCUCACUGCCACACUCUGCCCCCGAGGCCCACAAGCAUCGAGCUGCCCCGUGGACGCGGAGGGCAGAGGGUCCUGGGCCUGUGCGGGGCCUCGGGGCAGCGGGCUCAGCGCAGCCCUGGCUCUGCCCUGGCUGUGCCUGUCACUGCCCAGCGAGGGGCACGAGCUGCAGUGGCCACGGGGCAGGAAGGGUGUCCUGGGCCCGACAGCGUUGUCCCUAGGAGGCUGGGGGGACCCUGUGAUGGGAGUCCCGGGGGUGCUCCAGGGCCUGGUCCAUUGCGGGGCCUCUGGGGUGGCCCAGGCAGGUGCCAAAGGGAUGGGGACCCCGUUUUUUGUCUUGAAGCCCACCAUGUCCGGGGGCCGCCUGCCUGCACCGUCUUGUUGCACUGGGAGGGUGGGGAGGGAGCUCCAUCGCUGGGCGGGAAGUUGGGCUAUGGCCUGGCCAGGAGGGGGUCCGGGCGGCUCAGGCUGGGUGGCUGGGCCCAGGGAGACACCCUGGGCAGUGUCUCAGAGGCCGGAGAAGGGAGGAGAGGCCCGGGUGCCGGGGACACUCGCUCCAGGCCCAGGGGCCCCGCCCCGGCCCCAGAGCCCCUCACAGGCGGGAUCCCCUGCUGAUGGGACUGGACACCCCCCACCCCGGAUGAAGGAGGCAGACACCUGGGCCUGCCCGAAGCAGGCGUGGAGCCCCUCCUCUGAGUGUCCAGGGGCCUCCCCCGGGCCCAGCUCCCUUCCUGCCCACGUCCUAGGUCGUCCUCCGGGGUGUCUCAGCUGCAGCCCAGCGCAGACAUGGCCCUCAGAGGGCUCCAGGGGACGAGGUCCCGACCUGGGGGGGGGGUCAGCGUCCAGAGAGGUGUUCCUGCAAAUGCCACCCUCCCUGAGAUGGAUGAGGGGUGUCCAGGGGACUCACUGCCGAAAGCCCUGGUGGUCGGUGACCUUGCACAGUGACAGGUCCUGCAGAGACCCUGCUUGGUGCGCCUGCAACAGAGGGGGCUCCGUGGUGGGGACCGAUCAGAGCAGGGAAAUGGGGACAGACAGGAGGGAGCAGAAGGGCUCCUCCCUCCCCUGAAUCCUGAGGAAGCGCCGACCCUCUGAGAUUGGCCGGGCACCAGAGGAAGGGCCUGUCUGCCCGGUGGGUGCAGCCUGACAGCCUCACCUGCUUCUAUCUAUCAGUGACGAUCCCCACUUGGGCCUGACCUGACCUGGUGACUCUGAUCCCUACCUGGGCCUCACCCGGACCUGGUGACUGUGGUCCCCACCUGGGCCUCACCCAGACCUGGUGACUGUGGUCCCCAUCUGGGCCUCAGCUGUACCUGGUGUCUCUGAUCCCUACCUGGGUCUCACCUGACCUGGUGACUCUGAUCCCUACCUGGCCCUCAACCAGACCUGGUGAUGGUGGUCCCCACCUGGGCCUCACCCAGACCUGGUGACUCUAGUCCCCAACUGGGCCUCACCCGGGCCUGGUGACUCUGGUCCCCAACAGGGCCUCACCUGGGCCUAGUGACUCUGGUCCCCACCUGGGCCUCAUGUGGAUCUGAGACUCUGGUCCCCACCUUGGCCUCACCUGAACCUGGUGACUCUGGUCCCCACCUUGACCUCACCAGCACCUGGUGACUCUGGUCCCCACCUGGACCUCACCUGGAACUGGUGACUGUGAUCCCCACCGUGGCCUCACCUGGACCCGGUGACUGUGGUGCCCCACUGGGCUUCACCUGGAUCUGGUGACUGUGGUUCCUACCUGGGCCUCACCUGACCUGGUGACUGUGGUCCCCACCUGGGCCUCACUUGACCUGGUGACUCUGAUCCCUACCUGGCCCUCACCCAGACCUGGUGACUCUGGUCCCCAAUUGGGCCUCACCCAGACCUGGUGACUCUAGUCCCCAACUGGGCUUCACCUAGGUGACUCUGGUCUCCACCUGAGCCUCAUGUGGAUCUGCGACUGUGGUCCCCACCUUGGCCUCACGUGAACCUGGUGACUCUGGUCCCCACCCGGGCCUCACCUGGACCUCAGGUGACUGGGCUCCUCAGCUACCAAUGACUAGGAUCCAGGAUGGACCCUUAGUUGCUACUGACACCGGGACCAUCCCCAGGGUCUCACUUGUUCCUGGUGACUAUGGUCCUUGUCUGGGCUGACCUGGCUCAUCCUUGGCUCUGAUCCCCUCUUGAGCCUCACCUGCUCUUGCAGGUAUGGUCCCCCCUGUCGUGGGUGUGUAGUGUCUAUGGUCCCUUCUGGGCCUCACCUGAUGGUACUGGGCCACGAUAUUGGCCCUUUGCAAGGCCAGCAGGGUCUCCGGGUCCUCCUGCAUCGUGCUGCAAUCCAAACACAUCCAAGAAUGACGGCGUGUGAGAACCUUCCGAGGACACAUCAGGCAUCACACACGGGCCCUCGCUGCCUGUCUGUCCCUCGCCCACCUACAGUCCACCUUCCCAGGCACUGUCCCAGGACAUGCCGUCACGCUGGGGUCACAGAGCGCUCCCACCCCGGUAUCAGGAGCACACGGGUGGGAGACCCAGGGGCUCCGGGGAACUGCCCACCUGAUGCUCGGGGCUGACGUCUCCCAGCCCGGGGCCGGCGCAGAAACGGUGGUGGGUGGGCCGGCCAGCGAGUGUCCUUGCGGGCUUGGGGGGGACGGGGAUUGAAGGUUUCUCUUAGAUUCCACAAGCACACGACCAAGGGGAGAAAGCGAUGGACUGGACUUCAUCAAAAUUAAAACCUGAUGCCAGCAAGAGUGCGACCAAACUCCCCACCCUGAGGGCAGCGAUGUGUGAAUAGCCUGAGGGGGGCCUGGGGGAGCACGAGGGACUCCACGUUCCAGUGAGUGAAGAGCAAGCCUGCUCACGGGCCAGGGGGACCCAGCGGGCACAGGGCGGGAUGGGGGGGUGUCAGUCACCCCUGUCGGGGUCCAUGCAUCUGGGAUAGGUUGGAAAGGUCAUGGCUUGGGUGCCUGCCUGCACAGCACAGGGCUUACAGGGGAGCGGGGGUCCCGGGGGAGCUGCCUGAGUUCCGACUGCAGCCUCCUUCCCUGGACGGGGGCAGCAGGGUGGCCGCUCUCACCCCGUGGGGCUGUGGAAGGGUUGUAGGAGCUGCUCACGGUCAUUGCAUGGGGGGUCGGGGUGUUGUGGACCCCAGCCCGGGAGGCCUGAGCCCCCACCCGGACCCACAGGCCCCACUGUGGCCCACGGGGAGCAGGGAUCAGCUGCCACUCACCUGUGACCUGUCGCUGUGUGAGCGCCUCCUCUUUAUGCACUGGGGUACUGGGGAGAGUGGGAGGGUUGGGGUACUGGGGAGAGUGGGAGGGUGGGGGUACUGGGGAGAGUGGGAGUACCGGGAUACUGGGGAGAGUGGGAGAGUUUGGGUACUGAGGAGAGAUGAGUACUGGGCUACUGGGGAGAGCAGGAGAGUCGGGUCGCUGCGAGCCAGAUCUGGAUGCAGAGUGGGCACCAGGCAGUGGUGAAACCCGGGGUCACCACAGUUCCACCCAGAGUGGGGUCCUGCAUCAUCACUGUGGGCAGGCGGGGUCCAAUCAGCACUUAGGCCUUCACCCUGAAGGCCGAGGGUCCCGGGGGAGGGUCCUGUCCCCACGCCGGGCGGGAAGGGGAUGCAGGCACCCUCCCACAUCCUCAGUUCCCAUCCUCGGGCGCUGCAGGCCCCCCGCUCUUCAAGGCAGACUGGGGGUCACAGAUGCCCCCCCGCCCCCCAGGUUUCACAGCAUGGGGUUGCAGUUAGGAACAUUUGAGGGGCUCCUGGGUGGUUCCGUCAGUUCCACGUCGACUCUUGAGUUUGGCUCAAGUCAGGAUCUCGGGGUUGUGGCGUGGAGCCUCGGGUGGGGCUCGGGCUCCAGUGGGUGAGGAGUCCACUCCAGGUUCCCCCUCUCCCUCCCCCCCUCACUGCACCCUCUCUCAAGUAAAUCUUCUAAAAAUUAACAUGAAGACACGUGAGCAUCUUGAUCCCCUCUGCAGAGGUGCCUUCGUGUGCGUAACGAGCGGGUAAAUGCCUUUCACGGACCCACCGGGAGUCCUACCAGAAACCCAUUUUUCCUUGGUAUUUAUUGAAGUACAGUGGACACACAACGUGAUGGUAGUUUCAGGGCUACAACUAGUGACUUGACAAUUCUGUGCCUCACUCAGCUCUCCCCACGAGACGGCGUCACCGUCUGUCCCCGUACAAAGUUGUCCCGACAGUACUGACUCUGUUGCCAGGCUGUACGUUAUAAAUUUCUGGGAUUUCUUUAUUUAGAAACAGACGCUUGUAGCUUUUCCUGUUGUUCAUCCAUGUUGCCCACCUGCCUCCCGCGGCGCCUCUGGCCAUCAGUCAGCACGAUCCAUCCCAUUAACCAGAGAAACGACAUGGGGCGGCCCAGGGGGCUCAGCGCUUCAGCGCCUGCCUUCGGCCAAGGGCGUGAUCCUGGAGUCCCGGGUUUGAGUCCCACAUCGGGCUCCCUGCAUGGAGCCUUCUUCUACCUCUGCCUGUAUCUCUGUCUCUCUCUCUGUCUCUCUGUGUCUUUCAAGGGUAUAUAAAUAAAAUCUUUAAUAAAAAACA